rfam:Zancudomyces culisetae strain COL-18-3 scaffold-4850, whole genome shotgun sequence.
GCCUGAUUAGCUCAGUGGUAGAGCGUUGGUCUUGUAAACCAAAGGUCGGGUGUUCGAUCCACCCAUUAGGCA